rnacentral:lncRNA from 1 species
CAAAUGAUAUGCUAUUACUAGGACGAUAGCUAUAUCAAGUAUGAUCGUUGUGUGUCAUAUGGAUUGGUUGUCCUCUUAACCAAAGAGUGUGGAGACACUGAUAUGGCAUAUAGAUAACACAUAGGAGUAUAUCUCACUGAACGUGACCAACUGUGGAGCACUCUGCUGUCAAGAGUAGCUCGUGAAGGGUAUAGGUAUAAAUGUCCCUUCGAUCUGAGAUCACCAUGGUGACUAGCAAGUAACUCACUGUGCUUUGAUGUUAGACUAUCUGAAUUUCUAAUUCAGUGAUGGAAGAUUUUUAGGUACAGUCAAGUGCUUGUUAAGUCGGUGUGUGAGUCAAGAUGGAAUUGACCCCUCCAGAUUAUAGAAGUUAAUGCAUCAUUGUAUAUCAAUUUAAUAGGACCUUGAUUAGAAUAAUUCAUGUGAUGGAUUUGAAAGGUUGAAAUACAAUAUGGUUGACUAUUUCAGGAUUGACAGUUAAACCUUAGGUCUCCUUGAAUAUUAGGAUCAAAGAGAUAAAUUAUAUGGUAAUCAUAUGCUUGUAGGUUCUUGAAUGUUGCUUUGCAAUCAUUCAGUCUAUCCGGACGUCGGAUUCCAUUGCUAGAUGGUUACAUCUAUUAGUUUAGAAAUUUAUUCCUAUGCUACCGACUUAUGUUCGAACCUAUGGGAUCACACUCAAAAGAAAUUUUUAUCUGAUCAAGUAGCUGAUCAAUGAUUGAGAAUCAUUUAAGGGUAUAAUCAUCAAUAUGAUUGAUGGUUAAUCUGGUGCAAAAGUUGUAAUGAAUUAAUUCACUAAGGAUUAGUGAAUUAAAAGAGGAUUGAUAAGUAAUUAGAUUGCUCAUUAAGCUCAAUUUGAUUGAGCAAUAUAAUUUGGUUUA